rnacentral:lncRNA from 1 species
AAGAAAGCCUGUACUUAUGCUUCACCAGGAGCAGUUCUCUGUCUAAAACUCUCUUAUUUUUGACAUUUAUCUGACUCAGUUUUAAGGCAUUAUUACUACAGGGUGAGCUGUUAUUCUUUGUCAUUAUUUCAGGACUGUCUUCAGGGUCUCUGGACAAGAUAAGAAACAGGAUAACAGCAAAAAGCUCAGUCUGGUAUUGUAAGGACCCUGAAGGGUGGUUUUCAGGAAGCUUCACCUACAGGAGACUGAAGCAGUUCAGCUUUGAGGAUGGAGGUGGAGAACAUCAAGGACUGAAGGUGUUUAUGGGAAGUGUGUUUAUGGAAAAGGCUUUUGGAAUGCCAGUGGGAUGAUAAGGUUACUUCUACAGGAGAUUAAAGGUGCCAGUUACACAUUGGGGGUAAGAGGUAUUGAAACACAAACAGGCUGUGCAGAAAGACUCUGAUUUCCCAGAGAAAAACCUCUUAUUUUCUAAGAUUAUAACAAGUACAAAGGAG